ensembl:snRNA U6 U6 spliceosomal RNA
GCACUUGCUUUGGCAAUACAUAAACUAAAAUUGGAACUCUACAGAGAAGAUCAGCAUGGCCCCUCUGCAAGGAUGACAUGCAAAUUUGUGAAGCGUUCCAUAUUUUU